AUUGAACGCUGGCGGCAGGCUUAACACAUGCAAGUCGAGCGGGGUGAUGGUGCUUGCACUAUCACUUAGCGGCGGACGGGUGAGUAAUGCUUAGGAAUCUGCCUAUUAGUGGGGGACAACAUCUCGAAAGGGAUGCUAAUACCGCAUACGUCCUACGGGAGAAAGCAGGGGAUCACUUGUGACCUUGCGCUAAUAGAUGAGCCUAAGUCGGAUUAGCUAGUUGGUGGGGUGAAGGCCUACCAAGGCGACGAUCUGUAGCGGGUCUGAGAGGAUGAUACGCCACACUGGGACUGAGACACGGCCCAGACUCCUACGGGAGGCAGCAGUGGGGAAUAUUGGACAAUGGGGGGAACCCUGAUCCAGCCAUGCCGCGUGUGUGAAGAAGGCCUUAUGGUUGUAAAGCACUUUAAGCGAGGAGAAGGCUCUUUUGGUUAAUACCCAAGAUGAGUGGACGUUACUCGCAGAAUAAGCACCGGCUAACUCUGUGCCAGCAGCCGCCGUAA
rnacentral:rRNA from 1 species